AGGGACGGUCCCCUCAUAAUGAGGAUGCCACCUGUCCACAAAAAAAAAAAAAAAAAAAAGCCGCAAAUCAGGCUGCCUUUGACACAAGUGAAGACCCUCUAUUGUGCACAUCUCAGUAACAUCCAACCAGAUUCUUCUCAAACCUGUGCUGUGCCAAUUACUUUUUUUAAGAGACAGGUUCUUACUUUAUCACCCAAGCUGGUGUGCAGUGGUAUGAUCAUAGCUCGCUGUAACCUCAAACUCCUUUUUUUUUUUUUUUCUUUUUGAGAUGGAGUCUCUGUCUCACAGGCUGGAGUGCAGUGGCUCAAUCUUGGCUCACUGCAACCUCUGCCUCCUGGGUUCAAUCUUGGCUCACUGCAACCUCUGCCUUCCACCUCAGCCUCCCCAGUAGCUGGGAUUACGGGCGCCUGCCACCACACCUGGCUAAUUUUUUGUAUUUUUAGUACAGAUGGGGUUUCACCAUGUUGGCGUGAGCAACCCACCUUGGCCUCAGCCCAGCCUGUAACCUCAAACUCCUAGGCUCAUGAAAAUUUCCCAUCAUAGCCUACCAAAAAGCUAAGACUACAAGUACAUGUCACUACACUUGGCUAUUUCUUUUCCAAUUCAUUUUCUUAGAGACAGGUUCUCAAUAUGUUGCCCAGGCUGGUUGGUCUCAAGCGAUCCUCCACCUUGGCCUCCCAAAGUGUUGGGAUUACAGGCAUGAGACACCAUGCCAGGCAUGACUUUUUCCAGGUAGCUAAUACUUUCAUAUGUGCAACAUUGAAAGGACAUACAAAGGCUGGACUUAGUGGCUCACACCUGUAAUCCCAGCACUUUGGGAGGCUGAGGCAGGUGGAUCAUCUGAGGUCAGGAGUUCGAGACCAGCCUGGCCAACAUGGUGAAACCCUGUCUAUACUAAAAAUACAAAAAUUAGCUGUGCAUGGUAGUGUAUGCCUGUAGUCCCAGCUGCUGGAAGGCUGAGGCAGGAGAAUUGCUUGAACCCGGGAAGCGAAGAUUGCAGUGAGCCCAGACUGCACCAUUGCACUCCAACCUGGGCGACAGAAAGACUGUCUCAAAAAAGAAAGAAAAAGGCAUACAAGCAAGUUACAGUGAAAUGUAGUUAUCUGUGACUGUUGUCCAUCCAGCUCCCCUUUCCAGAAGCACCGUCCACCGUCCAUUGUUUCUUAGGUUUAUUGAUUAUAUUGUUUGCAACAGUGCUGAACUUGUGUUUAUCCCUAUCCAUUUCAGCUGGUCAGUUUUCCUCCUGGGCCCCUGAGGUUGGGGUCUUUUGUGUUUGGGAUCUGUGGUCCUUCAGCCCUCACAUUGGCCAUAUUUUCCAGAUAUAUUGCCACUGGAUGGGCUGGGCUCAGUGGCUCACACCUGUAAUCCCAGCACUUUGUCAGGCCAAGGCAGACAGAUUGCUUGAACUCAGAAGUUCAAGACUAGCCUGAGGAACAUGGUGAAAACACAUCUCUACAAAAAAUAUGGCCAGGCGUGGUGGCUCACACCUGUAAUCCAAGCACUUUGGAGGCCAAGGCGGGCAAAUCACCGGAGGGCGGAAGUUCAAGACCAGCCUGACCAAUAUGGUGAAACCCCGUCUCUAAAAAAAAAAAAAAAUUGGGCCAGGCGAGGUGGCUCCUGCCUGUAAUCCCAGCACUUUGGAAGGCCAAGGCAGGCGGAUCAUGAAGUCAGAAGUUUGAGACCAGCCUGGCCAAUAUGGUGAAACCCCGUCUCUAUUAAAAAUACAAAAAUUAGCCAGGCAUGGUGGUGCUUGCCUGUAGUCCCAGCUACUCGAGAGGCUGACGCAGGAGAAUUGCUUUAGCCUGGGAGAGGGCGGUUGCAGUGAGCUGAGAUCAUGCCACUAUAGUCCAGCCUGGGUUACAGAGCGAGACCCCGUCUCAAAAAAACAAAAACAAAAAUUAGCAGGGCAUGGUGGUGUGCACCUGUAGUCCUAGCAACUCAGGAGGCUGAGGUGGGAGGAUGGCUCAAGCCAGCAGGUGGAGGUUGCAGUGAGCAGAGAUUACAUUAUGCCACUGCACUCCAGCCUGGGUGGCAGAGUCAGACCCUGUCUCAAAAUAUACACAUACAUAUAUGUCAUGUUGAUUGCACUUUGGUAAGUCUGCCUCUGUGUACACAGACUCCAUCCCAUGACUGGACUCCCAUCUGGCCAGCAUGUUCUGUUCACAGGGAGGAAACAGAAUCUGGAGCACGUGGCACUUUUGUUCUUCUUGAUGACACUAGGUUUCAAAAUCUUUUGAGAAAUAACUUUCUUAAAAGGCUUUCCCUCUAGAGAUUGAGAUUUGGUGGUGCCAGGAUGAAUCCUGGGCACCUCUUGGGAUUUUUUUUUUUUUUUUUUUGAGACAGAGUCUCACUGUGUUGCCCUGGCUGGAGUGGAGUGGUGAGAUCUUGGCUCACUGAAACUGCCACCUCCCAGGUUCAAGUGAUUCUUCUGCCUCAGCCUCCUGAAUAGCUGGGAUUACAGGCACAUGCCACCAUGCCUGGCUAAUUUUUGUAUUUUUAGUAUACAAAAUUUUAUCAUAUUGGCCAGGCUGGUCUCAAACUCCUGCCCUCAUGAUCUGCCCGCCUCGGCCUCCCAAAGUGGACUUUUUUUUUUUUAAGAGUCAGGGUUCUUAAAAAAACCACUGUCACCCAGGGUAGAGUGCAGUGGAACAAUCAUAGUUCACUUCAGCUUCGAACUCCUGGACUCAAGUGAUCCUCCCGCCUCAGCCUCUUGAGUAGCUGGGACUACAGGCAGGUGCUCACCAUGCCCAGCUAAUUUUUAGUUUCUGGGCUGUCCAGGACACAGGCUGUCCCUAUGUCGCCCAGGCUGUUCUUGAACUGCUGGGAUCAAGCGAUUGUCCCACCUUGGCUUCACAAAGUGCUGGUAUUACAGGUGUGAGCCACAAGUCCGGCAGUCUCUUGUGACUUUAAAACCUAACUGGUGCCUGUGCUGUGCACCUGGAUUGAAAGCGCUGUUUCAGUGUCUCUGUUUUGCAAGUGAAGAAACUGAGGCUCAGAGAAGGGAAGACGGUUGCACCCACCUCACUAGACUUUAGACUUUUUUUUUUUUUUUGAGACGGAGUUUUGCUCUUGUUACCCAGGCUGGAGUGCAAUGGCGCGAUCUCAGCUCACCGCAACCUCUGCCUCCUGGGUUCAAGCAAUUCUCCUGCCUCAGCCUCCCAAGUAGCUGGGACUACAGGCGUGCAUCACUGUGCCCAGCUAAUUUUUGUGUUUUUAAUAGAGACGAGGUUUCACCAUGUUGAUCAGGAUGGUCUCGAUCUCUUGACCUCGUGAUCCACCUGCCUCGGCCUCCCAAAGUGCUGGGAUUAUAGGCAUGAGCCACCAUGCCCGGCCUAGACUCUUUUUUUUUUUUUUUGAGACAAAGUCUUGCUCUGUUGCCUAGGCUGUAGUACAGUGGUGCAAUCUCAGCUUCUGCAACCUCCGUCUCCUAGAUUCAAGCAAUUUUCCUGUCCUAGCCUCCUGAGUAUCUGGGGUUACAGGGGCCUGCCACCAUGCUUGGUUAAUUUUUGUAUUUUCAAGUAGAGAUGGGGUUUCACCAUGUUGGUCAGGCUGGUCUUGAACUCGUGACCUCAAGUGAUCCACCUUCCUUAGCCUUCCAAAGUGCUGGGAUUACAGGUGUGAGCCACCACACCCAGCCUCACUGGGCUUUUCAUCCUGCUGUUCUCAGGGAGUUCAAGCUCCCAGUGACCAGUGACUGCACCUCUCAAAUCUAAAAUUCAGAUGAUUGUGUCCAGCGUGUAAGGGAAACCAGCCACAUGGAGUAGAGGUCAAGAGGACCCAGGCUGAGUUGCUUGUUGACACCCACACAAAAGUACGGUUGUAUGUACCCUCAACAGACAGCCUGAGGCUGGUUCACCCUGAGGCAGAGGACAUCUGGUGCCUGCAUGCGUACCUCCACAUGGAUGUGGAUGUGUUCACAGGCCCAGUACUGCAAACACUGCGUACCAGGUAAGCACGCACAGGACUCCUGCUUUCUUUCCCUGUGCUCUCUCUUUAAUAAAGGAGCAUAUUUCUUUCUUUCUUUUUUUUUUUUUUUUGUGACAGAGUCUCACUCUGUCACUCAGGCUGGAAUGCAAUGGCACAAUCUUGGCUCACUGCAACCUCUGCCUCUUGGUUAAAGUGAUUCUCCUGCCUCAGUCUCCUGAGUAGCAGGGAUUACAGGUACCCACCAUCACAUCCAGCUAAUUUUUUGUAUUUUUAGUAGAGACGAGGUUUCUCCAGGUUGGCCAGGCUGGUCUCAAACUCCUGACCUCAGGAGAUCUGCUCACCUCGGCCUCCCAAAGUGCUGGGAUUACAGGUGUGAACCACCGCGCCGGCUCAAGGAGUACAUUUCUUUUAUCAUCUUUUCCCCAGUAAAUGGAGAGAACGCUUGUCAAUCUCCCUUUUUGACGUGUGCAGAUUCCUCCCUCUGGCUGUUCUGCUCACCAUCUUUGGGCUUCAGUGGUUUCUUUGUGGUUCUUCUUAGGCGCUGGCUGCUUCUCCCGGUGUGCUGGUGGGGGAAGGCUGGGCCUUCCCUGCUGGUUCUCAUGUUCUUAUCCCUUAGCCUUGCAUAUGUUUGGCCCUUUCAGCCACUUGGCUCUUUAUCUUGUCUCUGAGGAUUGCACUGUGUCUCUGAAAGGAAGAGACUGUUACUUCAUCCUGCACUGUCCUGUGCUCCCCCAACAGCUGCUGGUCUUAUGCCAGGCUACUGAUGGGCACUCAGUAAAUGGAGAAUAAAGGAAGAAAUCCAUGUUCAGUGGUGAUUCAGCUCCUUAUUCCCUUUCCACAGUGCUCAGCAGCCCCCUGCCAUCCCAUGCCUGGGAAGUUGUUCUUGCUGCUUUUAAUGUUACCAUUUCCUCCCUGAAAAUCACUCCCAAUGCUCCUACUCCAUCCCUUUGGAUCCUCAGAAGCCCUCUUCCCACUGAAAUCUACUUUCUUAAAUUAUUCUUUUUCUUUUGGCUAGCUUCCCUCCCUUUCUCUGAAGUAGCUGGGGGACUUUUGCCAAGGCUAUCAUCCCACUUAAAAUGUCAGCAAAUAAGGCCGGGCACAGUGGCCCACGCCUGUAAUCACAACACUUUGGGAGGCUGAGGCAGGUGGAUCACUUGAGGUCAAGAGUUCAAGACUAACCUGGCCAACAUGGUGAAACCCCAUUUCAAUUAAAAAUGCAGAAAAUUAGGUCAGUGUGGUAGCUGUUGCCUGUAGUCCCAGCUACUUGGGAGGCUGAGGCAGGAGAAUCGCUUCAACCCGGGAGGUGGAGGUUGCAGUGAGCCACUGCACUCCAGCCUAGGCAACAGAGCAAGACUCUGUCUCAAACAAACAAAUCCUCCAAAACAGCAUCAGCAGAUUCAUCCAUAAGCACUCAAGAUGGAAGCCUCCUUAAAGACCACAUCUCCGCCGCUUCCUGACAGGCCCUGGUUCUACCUUGCACACUACUAGUUGGUUCUUUCUACUACUGAGUCAAGAAUCAUGUCUGCUCAGAGCUGUCCCCAGAGGCUCCUGGUUCCUGUCUUGUGGCCGUAUAGCAAAUCUGUACCAUCUCUUCCUUGCAGCCUCCCAGCCAGGGUAGAUGGGUCCUGCCCUGCUCAGAGGAGGGAACACAAGCCUUGGGGUCAGACUCAGCUAAGUUCAAAGCCGUGCUUCUCCAGUGGUGUUGCUUUUUAAGUAUGGCCUUCUAUUUUGCCUGCUUCCUCAUCUGUAAAGCAGGGUUCCUGUUACCUACUUUGUUGGGUCAUCCAGAGAAUGCAAUAAAAGGGCAUAAAGGCUUAACAUUAGGCCUUCUACAAAACAGUCUCUAUUCCUAGUGGUUGUUUAUUCUCAUCACCAUCAAGCUCAGUAUUCAACAGACCCUGUGCUAGUGAGUGCAAGGUGUGGAAAAAGAAUGAGAAAUACAGAGCAGCUUCUGCCGGCAGUGUUGCUGGACAGAGCUGCAGUCAGAAUGAAGGUGAGCCACAAAUGAGGUGGCAGAGACUGAACAGAAGCGUUAGCUGUGUGGCAUGAACAGCAGGUGCCCACGUGAUCAGGAAGGAGAUGAGCCCAGUGAAGGAUGAGUUCAGCUCUCCCACAUGGUGGGGAGGCCCACAUCUCCAUCUCUGGCCCAGAUCAGUCUCCUGAGCUCUACCCAGACCCCUAUAUUCCAUUUCCAGUUGGAAUAGCUCUAAGUCCUGUCCAAAUCUCCUGUAGGGAUGCUGACACAGGGCAGUCAGUCUGUCCUUGACUCUCUUUUAACUGUUUUUCUUUCUUUCUUUUCUUUUUUUUUUUUGAGACAGAGUUUCAUUCUUGUUGCCCAGGCUGGAGUAAAAUGGCUCAUUGCAACCUCCAUCACCCGGGUUCAAGUGAUUCUACUGCCUUAGCCUCCUGAGUAGCUGGGAUUAUAGGUGUGUACUACCCACCUAUUUUGUAUUUUUAGGAGAGAUGGGGUUUUACUCUGUUGGUCAGGCUGGUCUCGAACUCCUGACCUCAGGUGAUCCACCCCGCCUCAGCUUUCCAAAGUUCUGGGAUUACAGAUGUGAGCCACUGCACGUGGCCUCUUUCUUUCUUUCUUUAUUUUUUAAGAGAUGGGGUUUCACCAUAUUGGUCAGGCUGUUCUCGAACUCCUCACCGCAGGUGAUCCACCUGUCUCACUCAGCCUCUCAAAGUGCUAGGAUUACAGGUGUGCACCACUGUGCCCAGCCCCUCCCCCCCCUUUUUUUUGAGGUGGGGUCUUGCUCUGUUGCCAGGCUGGAGUGCAGUGGUGCAAUCUCGGUUCACUGCAACCUCUGCCUCCCAGGUUCAAGCGAUUCUCUUGCCUCAGCCUCCCAAAUAGCUGGGAUUACAGGCAUCUGCCACCAUGCCCAGCUAAUUUUUUCAUUUUUACUAGAGACGGGGUUUCACCAUGUUGGCCAGGGUGGUCUCUAUCUCCUGACCUUCUGAUCUACCCGCCUUGGCUUCCCAAAGUGCGGGGAUUGCAGGCAUGAGCCACUGUGCCAAAGCCUUUCCUUUCCCCCCACUUUUUUUUUUUGAGAUGGAGUCUCACUCUGUUGCCUGCCCAUGCUGGGGUACAGUGGCACAAUCUCAGCUCACUGCAACCUCUGCCUCCCAGGUUCAAGUGCUUCUCAUGCCUCAGCUUCCCAAGUAGCUGGGAUUACACGUGCCCACCACCAUGCCCGGCCAAUUUUUGUAUUUUUAGUAGAGACGGAGUUUCACCAUGUUGGCCUAGCUGGUCUCAAACUCCUGCCCUUAUGUGAUCUGUCUGUCUUGGCCUCCCACAGUGCUGGGAUUACAAGCAUGAGCCAUCAUGCCCGGCCUCAACUCUGUUUUCUAACCAGCUGCUAAAACUUGUUAAUGCUACCUCUGAAGUCGCUCUCAAAUCUAUUUCCCUCCAACCCUUCUACCUUUAUGAUGCCCUCAUUACAUCUUUUCCAAAUGGCUGCUGCAGCCUUCAAGCUCAUCUGCCAGUCUGCAGAGCAGGCCUUGUUUCCUCUGACAUGUUGUAGUAAGAUCUUUCUAAAAUCCAUUGUCUUACUUCUCUGCCUAAGUCCCUUUGCCAGCUCCCAUCUCUCAGGACAGAGUGUGCAAUCCUUGUUCCAGCUCACAGUAGUGAGGCUCCUCAGGGCCUGGGCUCUUCCUUCUGCUCCUGCCCCAUCACUCACCAUCCCCAUUGCCUCCAGCCACACUGAGUCCCGUGUGGUUCUCAACAUCAGCCACAUUCUCUCGAAUCUCUGCUUUUGGCACAUGCUACUUCCUAUGCCCAGAAUAGGAAUCCUUGUCAGAUGCCUUCAGGAUGCCACUCAGCUGUCAUUUCCUUUGGGACAUCUUCUUGGACACCUCUUCCUGCAGGGUGGACAUCCCUCCUGCGUGCACCUGUGAGACCUGUCAUGCUGUGUGGUGAUGGUCCAUCUCCCCUACUAGCCUUAGAGUUCCUGUGUAGAUUGGGACCCAACCUAAGUUCAUGCUGUACCUAGGACACGAACUGACACAUAGUAGGAAGUUAAUAAAAGCCAGAUGAUGUAUGGAUGGUUGGGAAGAUGGGAUCUGAGUAGGGUCCUGAAGUAUGGCCUGAGACAGACGAUAGGGUUUAGAAAUGACCUCUUCUCAGCCGAUCUGUGUGCAUUGAACAAGUGAUUUAACCCUCACUCUCACAUUAAACCAACCUUUAUUGAGGGUCUGCUGCGUGCCAGGGUGCUGGGUGCUGCAACAAUGAGUCCGGCAGCCUGAGUCCCUGUCUUCCUGGAGCUCUCAUUCAAUUGGGGUACAGAGACAUUUGCUGCAGGUAACAGUGAAUGCUAUGACUGAAGAGACAGCAGAGGCCAAUAACCAGGGUUUGGGUGGGGUGGUUGGGGAGAGUUCUUGAAGGAGGUGAUACAAAGGCCACAUCCUAAAGGAAAAGGAGCUCACUUUGGGGGUGGGAGAAGGAUGUGGGCACUGAAAGGUCAGGUGUGGCACAAGGGUGGUGAGCACGGCAGAGGGAAAGCAACUAGAAGUGAAGACAGUAAGUCAGGUGGAGCCAGAUCACGGGCCUGGUGGAUGGGGCUUGGCCUCUAUUCAGAGGGCACUGGGAGGACGACGGACUCUAUGCAAGGUGCCCUGGCUUACAUUUGGAAAUGGUGUUUGGGAGGCAGCAUGGCCAAGAGUUGCUGAUGGACUGGGAGGGGGAUGUGUGGAUGACUCCAGGUUUCUGGCUGGAGUGACAGGAUGGAUGCUGGUACCAUUACCAAGACUGGGAAAGGUCAAGGGAAAUCAGGAGUCUGGCUUUGGCCAUGUGUAGUCUGGGAUGCCUGUGAGUGUUCAAGUCGCCACGUAAGUGGUUAGAUAGGAGGCUUUAGAGUUGGGAGGGGAGGCUCUGACCUUUGGUUUCCUCCUUUGCAAAAGGAAGCAUCAGCAGAAUUGAUUUCACAGGGAGGGCUCCUCUAAGGACUGGAUGAAAUAAACCAUGUAAGGCACUCAGCAGCAGCCUGUAUGUGAAGAUGACAGCUAUUAACGUGUCAGUCCUUGGACACAGCAGGGGAAAGGAGUGGCAAAAGAAGCAGUUUAAAGAUUAGUCUGAAACCUCCUGUACAGGAGAAUCCCAGAUGAUGCAUGUAGGUAUAAUCAACUCCUCAUCCAAGUGUGAGCUGCACCAGCAACUUCCUUCCAAAGAGGACAGGAUGGAAGCAGGUGUGUGGGACUUUACAGUGAGGGGCCCAGGUCAGCAUCAUCAGGGAUGUCAUGUUGACAGCAUCUGCCCUUGACAGGCUGUGCUGAGAAGGGCAUUCACCUUUGAAGCCUUCCUCCCCACAACCUAGAACCUCCAUCCAGCCAUGAGAAGAGCAUCAGACGAUCCCCAAUUGAGGGACAUUUUGCAAAACGCCUGACCAGUAAUCCUCAGAACUGUAAAGGUCAUCAAAAAUAGAGAUCAAAAGUCUGAGAAAAUGUCAUAAACCAAAGGAGCCUAAGAAGACAGAAUGGGCCAGGGGCAUUGGCCCAUGCCUAUAAUCCUAGCACUUUGGGAGGUCAUGAGAGGAGGACUGAUAAAUGAGGCCAGGAGUUCAAGACCCCACCUCUACCAAAAAACAAAACAAAGAGCCAGGUGUGGUGAUACAUGCCUAUAGUCCCAGAUAGGAGGCUGAGGUGGGAGGAUGGCUUGAGCCCAGGAGUUUGAGGCUGCAGUGAGCUAAGAUGGCACCACUGCACUCUAGCCUGGGCAAGAGAGCAAAACCUGGUCUCUAAAAUCAACAACGAAAAUGGAGAAAGGGCAUUAGGGAAAAACUAAGGACAUAUAUAUAAACUAGGGACAUUUAUUUAUUUAUUUAUUUUGAGAUGGAGUCUUACUCUGUUGCCCAGGUUGGAGUGCAGUGGCAAGAUCUCGGCUCACUGCGACCUCCGCCUCCUGGAUUCAAGUGAUUCUCCUGUUUCAGCCUAUGUAGUAGCUGGGAUUACAGGUGCCUGCCACCAUGCCUGGCUAAUUUUUGUAUUUUUAGUAGAGAUGAGGUUUCAUCAUGUUGGUCAGGCUGGUCUCGAACUCCUGACCUCAGAUGAUCUACCCACCUAAGCCUCCCGAAGUGCUGGGAUUACAGGAAUAAACCACCAUGCCCGGCCAAAAUAGGGACUAAAUAAUAAUAAAUAAUUAUUAUUUAGUUAAUAAUCGAGCAUCGUGAUUGGUUCACUAGUUAUGACAAAUGUACAUGAAUGUAAGGGAAACUGCCAGGGUGGUAUACAUAGCCACUCUUUCUACUAUCUUUGCAACUCUUCUGUAAACCUAAAGGUAUGCUUCUUUUUUUGAGAUGGAGUUUAGCUCGUUACCCAGGCUGGAGUGCAAUGGCGCAAUCUGGGCUCACUGCAACCUCCGCCUCCUGGGUUCAGGCAAUUCUCCUGCCUCAGCCUCCUGAGUAGCUGGGAUUACAGGCACGCGCCACCAUACAGAAAAUACAGCUAAUUUUCUGUAUUUUCAGUAGAGACGGGGUUUCACCAUGUUGACCAGGAUGGUCUCGAUCUCUUGACCUUGUGAUCCACCUGCCUCGGCCUCCCAAAGUGCUGGGAUUACAGGCUUGAGCCACCGCGUCCGGCCAACCUAAAGGUAUUCUAAAAUAAAAUAGUUUACUUAAAAAUAAAACCAGUCUGGAGUUGGCAUGCAGGUUAGAGGCUCUUAAACUUUCUGCACCAAAAUGCCAUCCCUUUGCCUUUAGUCUCUGGCGGAUCUGCUCUGGUACAGCCUUAACUCCUGGUGACUGGGCAGAGCUGCUUCAAGUCAGCACCUUCCACCUGAGUUGCCUUGGGCUACAAACUGUUUCUAAACAACUGACUUCCUCUUCUUUGCUCGGGGUAGGAGUCUAUCUUCUUACUGCUGAGCCUAGGAGAAAACCCAGGUGUCUUUUGGGCUAAGGCAUCAGUAGCACAUCUGGAUUUGGGACCCCAUUCCAGCAGCACGAGGAACUUCAUUCUGUAAACAGAUAUUUAUUGUGCACCUGUGAUGGGCCAAACAGUCUUCUGGGUGCGAAGGAUACAACCGGGAAAACCAUUUCCUCUUUUCUUGGUGCUUGCAUUCUUGUGGGAGAGACAAAUGAAUAAUUAAUGCCAAGGAGUGGGAAAUAUGAAUAAGGAAAAAAAAAAAGGGUAGGAGAAGGGAAGGCCUCCUGAGGUGAUAUUUCAGCCAAGACCUGAAUGAGGGAGCAAGCCAUAAGGACCUGGAGGCAUUAGCAGGAUGGACAGGACCAACGAUCUGUGCAAAGGCCAUGAGGCUGAGUGGUGUCUGAGGAAUGUCACAAGGCCAGUGAGGAGGGGAAGUGUAAGAGGAAUUAAGAUCCAGCAGCUCCUGGGAGGUCAGACUAUGUGAGCCUCUUCACAGGGGAGGCUUCAGCUUACACACCUGGGUAGGUGGCACACUCUGCACAGUCUGGAUCAGCAAUCCAACACAAUCUGCUUAACUCUGAAAAAUCUCUUUGGCUACAAAGAGAACAGGCUACAGGGAAAAGAGGGUGGAAGCAGCGUUAAUUAGAAGCCUAUCCAGAUAAGAGAUAAUUGCAGCAGAGGAAGGGGAGAGGCACUGUCAGGGUAAGCCAAGAGGACUUGCUGAUGGAUUGGAUGGUGGGUACGAGAGAAACAGCAAUUGAGGAGGAUUCCCCAGUUUUCAGCCUCGGAACUUAAGAAUGGAGUUUGCAUUUACUAGGAGGGAAGUCUCUCAGGGGAGCACAUUUCACGACAUGGGACCAAGUGAGCUCCCUUCAGGGCUGAGUGUGUGGAGAGGAGGCUAGAGGCUGAACCCCUGAGUGCUCCAGGUUCGAGGCUGGGAAGCUGAGGACACUGUAGCAAGGGAGGCCAAGAAGGAGAGGCCAGGGAGGUGGGAGAGCAGAGAGCUGUCCACAGUGCAGGUGGAAAGACUCAACCAGGUGAUUAUUUGCAUCCAAUGCUACUGAUAGGAUUGGGCAACCCAGGCCAUUGAAACCUUGGUAAGGAAACUUUUGGUAGGAUUGUGAGGAAGAAACUGGAAGGGACUGGGCAGAAGUGAAGAUGGGGAACACAAAGCUCUUUGGAAGAUUUUUGCUGUAAGGGGAGCAGACAAGGCAUGGCAGCUGAAGGGAACCUGGAAGUCUAUGGUCUUUAAUAUUGAGCUUAUCCACUUGGGAUGCAUGUAAGUGGGUGGGAAAGUCCCGGCAGAGGAGAGAACCCACAGUACAGGAGAGCGGGUGACUGUAGGAGCAAAGCCCUCAAGGAGUGGAGAGGGAUGGGCCCAGGGAUGUGAGCAGGGUGGGGGAUUUAUUGCCACAAAAGGGAAGACUGAGGAUAUGGUGUCAGACACAGACGAGCUGAGAGUUCACCCCUCACCCUCUCAUAGGACUGGGCCAGAACCUAAGAGGGCCAGAAGCAGGGGUCCAAGUCUACCUGUCCCGCCACCUCCACUGAAGCUCCCUGGCCCCCAGCACUGCAGAGCCCCUGCCCUGCAGCCCUCGUCUGGCUGCGCUCUGGGAAGGCCUUAUGGGCACUUCAUCCUGCUCUGCAGCCACAUUCACGACCUGGGUCUAGUUCACACUAGGUAUGAUUUGCUUCUCCUGCCUUCCCUCUCACCAACACCGCUAUCGCCUCAUUUAGGAGGCAGGCAUGAUUUUCAUUUUCUAGGCUCAGAGAGUUUGAGCAGGGCCACACAGCUGGGUCCCAGACCCUCUCCACGUGAGCUCAUCUGGGCACAGGGCUUGGGGAACCCAAGACUGAGGCCAGUGACAGCAGGCUCUGCAUGGCCAUCCACUCCUAUGGGGGUGUACCUGCAGGGCAAGUAUGCCAACUGCUGUCCCUUCUGCAAGGCUUCACCUCUGGGCACUUUUUUUUUUUUUUUUUUUGACGGUCUCAUUCUGUCGCCCAGGCUGGAGUGUUGUGGUGCAAUCUUGGCUCACUGCAGCCUCUGCCUUCCAGGUUCAAGUGAUUCUUGUGCCUCAGCUUCUUGAGCAGCUGAGAUUACAGGCACACACCACCAUGCCCUGCUAAUUUUUUGUAGUUUUUAGUAGAGACAGCGUUUCACCGAGUUGCCUAGGCUGGUCUCAAACUCUUGAGCUAGGCAAUCCGCCUGCCUUGGCCUUCCCAAGUGCUAGGACUACAGGCGUGAGCCACCGUGCCCGGCCACCUCUGGCCACUUCUUCAUGGCAGAGGCUGUGUGUGCAAGUCUGGCUUGGAAGCCUGUGGAAGAACCAGGUGCCCAGGGAACAGUGGCUACCACUGCUUUCCAUCUCUAAGUCAAGGGCUGGCAGAAAAGGGAACUUCAUAGAUGGACCUCAGCCCCAGCCCCUCCACCUGCAGAGGCAAAGACCCCUCGGCUCAGACUUCACCAACCUGGAGCAGGGGAGAGAAGCUAAAUUCUGACCUUUGAUCAGAAGUGGGGAAGCCACUCUCAACAUGUCACUGCCUUAGGUGAGAUUUGGGGAUGCUGGGUUCCUGGGGGAAAAAGGGCUUUUGGUGUGGAAAUGGCAUCUCUUUCCUGUUUCUGACCUCUGCCUGCCUCAUGCCAGGUGAGACACCUUCAUGCCUGUUUCCAUGAUUGAGAACAUGGGAGUGUGCUUGUUUCUGCCCAUGUUCCUGGCAGAUAUUCACCAGAGUUGGGCUGCACUUGUGGAGAAGGGGCUGGGCAGCUCCUGCAGCACAGUGAGGGGCACAGAAGCCCAAGGCAGUCGAGAUUCCAUUAAAAAACAAGAUUAACUUGGAAGGGGAAGAAGGUAGAGGGAAGGGUUGGUACCAAGGCUCCCUAAAUCCAUGCUGGACAAAAACCCUUCUGCUGUGGGGUGAGAUGAGAGAAAAUGCCUCCAGGAAGCUGAGGUCCGCGGGGCAGAACUUGACCUCCUUUCGUCCACUGUCCCCUCCAGAAGAGGGAAGGCACCCCGAGAAACAGAGGCCUCUUCUUGUCAGAAGCCCACUCUCCAGCUUCCCUCUGCUCCUGCUCCUGGACCUUUGAUCUCAACUUUAGAUACUUGAGAUCCUAAAGACAUGGCCACCUCCUGUAUCACCACUUCCAGCGGUCUGAGAUUCAGCCUGAACCCGGGCUCAGGCACUCGCUCCCACUCCCGAUCCAGCUCCAGCACCUCAGCAGGGCCACCUCACUGUGCCAGGUGCUGACACGCAUGUUCCUUUUUUCUUCUUUUUUAGAGACAUGGAUUGCUUCCUUUAGAGAGGCCCUCUUACUCUCACCAAAGAAGACAAUCCACGUCUCUAAAAAAGAAAAAGGGAGGACACUAAAAGGGACAGCCCAAUCCACGUCACUGUGUGGCCCAGGCCAAGCUUUGAACUCCUGGGCUCAAGUGAUCCUCCUGCCUUGGCCUCUGGAGUGACCGGGACUACAGGCUGAGCCAGCACACCCAGUUUUCAUGUUCUUACGUAACCUGCUUCACAGCUCUGCAAGGCGGCCACUUCACCUCUCUUCGUUAGAUGAAACUGAAGUUCAAUAACUUGUCCAAGCUAAGCCAGUGGACAGAAGAUAGAGCCAUUCAAACCCUCAUGCGUUUUAUUUCCCAAGUGCCAUGCUCUCUCUACCACCAGGGAGGUCCCAUAAAAAGACACUUGCACAGCACUUUACAGUCUACAGGCCUCUGUGCUAACAUGGUCUCAUUCAAUCCAAUAAAGUGAAACAGGCCAGAAAGUGUCCUCCUGUAGCCAGGCUGGAUGGUGACGUCUCUGAAUUCUAACUUUAGUGUUUCAGGGCUUUUCUAGAGAGACAGGGUCUUACUGUCACACAGGCUGGAGUACAGUGGUGUGAUUAUGGCUCACUGCAGCCUCAAACUCCUGGGCUCAAGCGAUCCUCUCACCUCAGCCUCGAGCAGCUGAGACCACAGAUGUGUACCACCAUGCCAAGCUUCCUGUGGCUGCCUUCUAAGCCCGUGUGCCUGGAAUCAGAUGGGUGGGCCUGAUGGAGGGCAUGGCAGGACAGGCAGGUAUGGACAGAAGCCUUACCCCACA